rnacentral:rRNA from 1 species
AGAGUUUGAUCAUGGCUCAGGAUGAACGCUGGCGGCGUGCCUAACACAUGCAAGUCGAACGAAGCUCCUGCGACAGAAUCCUUCGGGAGGAAGAUGCUUGAGACUGAGUGGCGGACGGGUGAGUAACGCGUGGGUAACCUGCCCUGUACAGGGGGACAACAGUUGGAAACGACUGCUAAUACCGCAUAAGCUUACGGUACCGCAUGGUACAGUAAGAAAAACUCCGGUGGUACAGGAUGGGCCCGCGUCUGAUUAGCUGGUUGGCGGUGUAACGGACCACCAAGGCAACGAUCAGUAGCCGGCUUGAGAGAGUGAACGGCCACAUUGGGACUGGAGACACGGACCCAAACUCCGUACGGGAGGCA